UCGGGUCUAGUGGCGCACGGGUGCGUAACGCGUGGGAAUCUGCCCCUUGGUUCGGAAUAACAGUUAGAAGUGACUGCUAAUACCGGAUAAUGUCUUCGGACCAAAGAUUUAUCGCCAAGGGAUGAGCCCGCGUAGGAUUAGCUAGUUGGUGAGGUAAAAGCUCACAAAGGCGACGAUCCUUAGCUGGUCUGAGAGGAUGAUCAGCCACACUGGGACUGAGACACGGCCCAGACUCCUACGGGAGGCAGCAGUGGG
rnacentral:rRNA from 1 species